rnacentral:piRNA from 1 species
UCAUCCCCUGGUACAGAGCUUCUAAGA